GGUCCUCUAGCGCAAUGGCAGCGCACUGGACUACGACAGUGUAUAUCCAGAGGUUGCAGGUUCAAGUCCUGCGAGGAUCG